rnacentral:rRNA from 1 species
UACAGAGGUCUCAAGCGUUGUUCGGAUUCAUUGGGCGUAAAGGGUGCGUAGGUGGCGAGGCAAGUCAGAUGUGAAAUCCCGGGGCUCAACCCCCGGAACUGCAUUUGAAACUGCCUUGCUCGAGUACUGGAGAGGAGACUGGAAUUUACGGUGUAGCAGUGAAAUGCGUAGAUAUCGUAAGGAAGACCAGUGGCGAAGGCGAGUCUCUGGACAGUUACUGACACUGAGGCACGAAGGCCAGGGGAGCAAACGGG